UCUGCAUUUUUUCAAAUAUAUACUAUCAAGGUCAUCAAAACAAUGUGUGCAUGCAUUAUAUCCCUUGUUUGUCUACCCUGAAAGAUUACUUAGAGCAGGCCAAUCAUUGAUUGUCACAAACAACAGUGCUCGUAGGUCGAAGUGUUCCUGUUUGUACUCAUCCCACACACGAACACCUGUUUCACUCCAUAAAAGAAGGAGUUCUUCAAUUAAUGGCCUU
rnacentral:lncRNA from 1 species